rnacentral:rRNA from 1 species
GACGAACGCUGGCGGCGUGCUUAACACAUGCAAGUCGAACGGAAAGGCCCUGCUUUUGUGGGGUGCUCGAGUGGCGAACGGGUGAGUAACACGUGAGUAACCUGCCCUUGACUUUGGGAUAACUUCAGGAAACUGGGGCUAAUACCGGAUAGGAGCUCCUGCUGCAUGGUGGGGGUUGGAAAGUUUCGGCGGUUGGGGAUGGACUCGCGGCUUAUCAGCUUGUUGGUGGGGUAGUGGCUUACCAAGGCUUUGACGGGUAGCCGGCCUGAGAGGGUGACCGGCCACAUUGGGACGGAGAGACGGCCCAGACUCCUACGGGGGGCAGGAGGGGGGAAUAUUGCACAAGGGGGGGAAGCCUGAUGCAGCAACGCCGGGGGGGGGAUGGCGGCCUUCGGGUUGUAAACCGCUUUCGCCUGGGACGAAGGGGGAGGGACGGUAAUGGGUAAAGAAGCACCGGCGAACUACGU